GAACGUUACCAAACUGUUGCCUCGGCGGGAUCUCUGCCCCGGGUGCGUCGCAGCCCCGGACCAAGGCGCCCGCCGGAGGACCAACCAAAACUCUUUUUGUAUACCCCCUCGCGGGUUUUUUAUAAUCUGAGCCUUCUCGGCGCCUCUCGUAGGCGUUUCGAAAAUGAAUCAAAACUUUCAACAACGGAUCUCUUGGUUCUGGCAUCGAUGAAGAACGCAGCGAAAUGCGAUAAGUAAUGUGAAUUGCAGAAUUCAGUGAAUCAUCGAAUCUUUGAACGCACAUUGCGCCCGCCAGUAUUCUGGCGGGCAUGCCUGUCCGAGCGUCAUUUCAACCCUCGAACCCCUCCGGGGGGUCGGCGUUGGGGAUCGGCCCUGCCUCUUGGCGGUGGCCGUCUCCGAAAUACAGUGGCGGUCUCGCCGCAGCCUCUCCUGCGCAGUAGUUUGCACACUCGCAUCGGGAGCGCGGCGCGUCCACAGCCGUUAAACACCCAACUUCUGAAAUGUUGACCUCGGAUCAGGUAGGAAUACCCGCUGAACUUAAGCAUAUCAA
rnacentral:rRNA from 1 species